rnacentral:rRNA from 1 species
CAUGCAAGUCGAGCGGUAAGGCCUUUCGGGGUACACGAGCGGCGAACGGGUGAGUAAAACGUGGGUGACCUGCCCUCCACUCUGGGAUAAGCCCGGGAAACUGGGUCUAAUACCGGAUAUGACCUUCUCCUGCAUGGGGGUUGGUGGAAAGUUUUUCGGUGGGGGAUGGGCCCGCGGCCUAUCAGCUUGUUGGUGGGGUGAUGGCCUACCAAGGCGACGACGGGUAGCCGGCCUGAGAGGGCGACCGGCCACACUGGGACUGAGACACGGCCCAGACUCCUACGGGAGGCAGCAGUGGGGAAUAUUGCGCAAUGGGCGAAAGCCUGACGCAGCGACGCCGCGUGGGGGAUGACGGCCUUCGGGUUGUAAACCUCUUUCGCCAGGGACGAAGCGCAAGUGACGGUACCUGGAUAAGAAGCACCGGCCAACUACGUGCCAGCAGCCGCGGUAAUACGUAGGGUGCGAGCGUUGUCCGGAAUUAUUGGGCGUAAAGAGCUCGUAGGCGGUCUGUCGCGUCGAUCGUGAAAACUUGGGGCUUAACCCUGAGCUUGCGGUCGAUACGGGCAUGACUGGAGUUCGGCAGGGGAGACUGGAAUUCCUGGUGUAGCGGUGAAAUGCGCAGAUAUCAGGAGGAACACCGGUGGCGAAGGCGGGUCUCUGGGCCGAUACUGACGCUGAGGAGCGAAAG